UGGGGAAUCAUAGACAAUGGGGGCAACCCUGAUCUUGCCAUGCCGCGUGGACGAUGAAGGCCUUAGGGUUGUAAAGUCCUUUCACCGGUGAAGAUAAUGACGGUAGCCGGAGAAGAAGCCCCGGCUAACUCCGUGCCAGCAGCCGCGGUAAUACGGAGGGGGCUAGCGUUGUUCGGAAUUACUGGGCGUAAAGCGCGCGUAGGCGGGCAUUUAAGUCGGGGGUGAAAUCCCGGGGCUCAACCCCGGAACUGCCUUCGAUACUGGGUGCCUAGAGGUCGAGAGAGGUGAGUGGAAUGGCGAGUGUAGAGGUGAAAUUCGUAGAUAUUCGCCGGAACACCAGUGGCGAAGGCGGCUCACUGGCUCGAUACUGACGCUGAGGUGCGAAAGCGUGGGGAGCAAACAGGAUUAGAUACCCCCGUAGUCC
rnacentral:rRNA from 1 species